rnacentral:rRNA from 1 species
CCUACGGGAGGCAGCAGUGAGGAAUAUUGGUCAAUGGACGAGAGUCUGAACCAGCCAAGUAGCGUGAAGGAUGACUGCCCUAUGGGUUGUAAACUUCUUUUAUAUGGGAAUAAAACGUUCCACGUGUGGGAUUUUGUAUGUACCAUAUGAAUAAGGAUCGGCUAACUCCGUGCCAGCAGCCGCGGUAAUACGGAGGAUCCGAGCGUUAUCCGGAUUUAUUGGGUUUAAAGGGAGCGUAGGUGGAUUGUUAAGUCAGUUGUGAAAGUUUGCGGCUCAACCGUAACAUUGCAGUUGAAACUGGCAGUCUUGAGUACAGUAGAGGUGGGCGGAAUUCGUGGUGUAGCGGUGAAAUGCUUAGAUAUCACGAAGAACUCCGAUUGCGAAGGCAGUUCACUGGACUGCAACUGACACUGAGGCUCGAAAGUGUGGGUAUCAAACAGGAUUAGAUACCCCUGUAGUC